rfam:Canis lupus familiaris chromosome 21, whole genome shotgun sequence.
AAAGAUUUCAAGCUUUUCGUUUUCAAAUAACUGUAUCCAGAGAAGAUUAGUAUGGCCCCUGCACAAGGAUGACACGCAAAUUCAUGAAGUGUUCCAUAUUUUU